rnacentral:piRNA from 1 species
UGAAAAGAUAACUGAAAAUGUGGAAGUGAC